UAUCUCUUUCCAGUUAUGGUCAUGGUGCUUACGUAGGAUCUCAGCUACACUGAAGUACAUGCUUAAAGCUUGACUGUGGACUCUGCAGAGGACUGUCAGUGCACUUCAGUGGUGCGCAGAGACAGCUAGCAAGGACUAGACUUGGUUCAGAAGAGUAUGGCCUCACGUUAGAUGAAGGCAGAAUCAUGGGAUGGCUCUGUCUCUACCUCAUACAGAAACAUUUCUCUUUUUAUUUGGGCUUCACACUAUUCCUGGGGCCUCUGGGCUCCUGUCCAGGCCAAGAUACUUCACAAUUGACUUUGAUUUUCUGAGGUAAGUGAUCUGUCGCUUUCAGAGCAGUUA
rnacentral:lncRNA from 1 species